UACGUAGGGGGCUAGCGUUGUCCGGAAUCAUUGGGCGUAAAGCGCGUGUAGGCGGUCCGGUAAGUCCGCUGUGAAAGUCGGGGGCUCAACCCUCGAAUGCCGGUGGAUACUGUCGGGCUAGAGUGCGGAAGAGGCGAGUGGAAUUCCUGGUGUAGCGGUGAAAUGCGCAGAUAUCAGGAGGAACACCAAUGGCGAAGGCAGCUCGCUGGAACGGUACUGACGCUGGAGGCGCGAAAGCGUGGGGAGCAAACAGG
rnacentral:rRNA from 1 species